rnacentral:rRNA from 1 species
UACGUAGGUGGCAAGCGUUGUCCGGAAUUAUUGGGCGUAAAGCGCGCGCAGGCGGUUUCUUAAGUCUGAUGUGAAAGCCCCCGGCUCAACCGGGGAGGGUCAUUGGAAACUGGGAAACUUAAGUGCAGAAGAGGAAAGUGGAAUUCCAAGUGUAGCGGUGAAAUGCGUAGAGAUUUGGAGGAACACCAGUGGCGAAGGCGACUUUCUGGUCUGUAACUGACGCUGAGGCGCGAAAGCCAGGGGAGCGAACGGG